AUACUUACCUGGCAAGGGAGAUACUGUGAUCACGAAGGCAGUUCACCCAGGGCGAGGCUCAGCCAUUGCACUCCGGCUGUGCUGACCCCUGUGCGAAUUUCCCAAAUGUGGAAAUCUCGAUUGCAUAAUUUAUGGUAGUGGGGGACUGCGUUCGCGCUCUCCCCUG